UACGGAGGAUGCGAGCGUUAUCCGGAUUUAUUGGGUUUAAAGGGAGCGCAGACGGGUCGUUAAGUCAGCUGUGAAAGUUUGGGGCUCAACCUUAAAAUUGCAGUUGAUACUGGCGUCCUUGAGUGCGGUUGAGGUGUGCGGAAUUCGUGGUGUAGCGGUGAAAUGCUUAGAUAUCACGAAGAACUCCGAUUGCGAAGGCAGCAUACUAAGCCGUAACUGACGUUCAUGCUCGAAAGUGUGGGUAUCAAACAGG
rnacentral:rRNA from 1 species